rnacentral:rRNA from 2 species
GAUGUGUAGGAUAGGUGGGAGGCUUUGAAGUGUGGACGCCAGUCUGCAUGGAGCCGACCUUGAAAUACCACCCUUUAAUGUUUGAUGUUCUAACGUGGACCCGUAAUCCGGGUUGCGGACAGUGUCUGGUGGGUAGUUUGACUGGGGCGGUCUCCUCCUAAAGAGUAACGGAGGAGCACGAAGGUUGGCUAAUCCUGGUCGGACAUCAGGAGGUUAGUGCAAUGGCAUAAGCCAGCUUGACUGCGAGCGUGACGGCGCGAGCAGGUGCGAAAGCAGGUCAUAGUGAUCCGGUGGUUCUGAAUGGAAGGGCCAUCGCUCAACGGAUAAAAGGUACUCCGGGGAUAACAGGCUGAUACCGCCCAAGAGUUCAUAUCGACGGCGGUGUUUGGCACCUCGAUGUCGGCUCAUCACAUCCUGGGGCUGAAGUAGGUCCCAAGGGUAUGGCUGUUCGCCAUUUAAAGUGGUACGCGAGCUGGGUUUAGAACGUCGUGAGACAGUUCGGUCCCUAUCUGCCGUGGGCGCUGGAGAACUGAGGGGGGCUGCUCCUAGUACGAGAGGACCGGAGUGGACGCAUCACUGGUGUUCGGGUUGUCAUGCCAAUGGCACUGCCCGGUAGCUAAAUGCGGAAGAGAUAAGUGCUGAAAGCAUCUAAGCACGAAACUUGCCCCGAGAUGAGUUCUCCCUGAGACUUAGAGUCUCCUGAAGGAACGUUGAAGACGACGACGUUGAUAGGCCGGGUGUGUAAGCGCAGCGAUGCGUUGAGCUAACCGGUACUAAUGAACCGUGAGGCUUAACCUUACA